rnacentral:misc_RNA from 1 species
GAAUGAAUGUAGAGUUGGUUGUCGCUGGCCAUUUAUUUAGCAUGUGCACGCCUUCUCUUUCAUCCACACACACCUGUGCACCUGUGAGACGGAGAGCUAUCGCCCUUUUGCUAGGGUGUUUUUCUCCGUCUGCCAAUACACAAACUCAUAUAUAAUAAUUUGAAUGUAAUCUGAUGUAACGCAUCUAUAAACUAAGUUUCAACAACGGAUCUCUUGGCUCU